UACAACUUUCAGCAACGGAUCUCUUGGCUCUCGCAUCGAUGAAGAACGCAGCGAAUCGCGAUAUGUAAUGUGAAUUGCAGAUCUACAGUGAAUCAUCGAAUCUUUGAACGCACCUUGCGC
rnacentral:rRNA from 1 species